GGAGCUGGGAGCUCUGACCAGGAAGCCACCGCGACCCGAGAAGGAACCCGACCAGGGGGACGCCGUCCGGCCACUCCACGAAGGCGCACGGCCACUAGCAGCUUCGUCUCGGGGCCGCCUGCGUCCCCGUGGUCCCAGAUUAUACAUGCAGCGACUGGAAACGGGGAUUCGACGACUGGAAGCCUUGUGUCUCCUCCGGCGAUUUCUGCAAACUCCGGCAACUCUGACCACCGUCAGAGCCGCUUGUGCUGUGUUCUUCAACACCGACAGCUUCUCCGGUGCUUCCAGCUUGAUUGGCAUGUGAAGGACGGUCUAAUCUUCCAGCUUCUCCGUGUUCCGGCGACCGUUUCACUGACUUCCGGACAUUUUAAACUUGAUUUCAGUGCUAGUAGGACAAUUUGAUGGUGGUAUUACUCUAGUAGCAGAAUCGAGGGAUUGGUUAGUCUGGGUUCAGACUGUCGUGUUCUUCGUCAGUAGCAUUGCUUUUGCAAAUCCUACCAUUGAAGGUAAAAACUGGAGUUUUACGUUUGGGUACUUCUCGACAGUUGAAUGAAUUGAUAAUCUGUUAUUGUGA